CACCAGCUUUUCCAGCAAAGGAAGUGAACUCUCAUAGUUUAGGGAAGUAUUUCUGAAAGUAUUGCCUUGUUUUUGAAUUAUUUAAAAAGUGAGAACAUCUCGACUAAACAGGACGUUAAAAUGUAGACUACCGUACGCGUGUGUCCAUCGUCGAACCAGCAGUCUAACAAGGAAGAACGGUUAUAAAUGUCAUACGAAUAUCCAAAGAACAGAGGAAGAGAAAGUGAAAGUAAAUCCAGAAAGGAUUUUUAAAAACAUAUCGAUAUGACGAGUUACGAAUACAGUGUGAAAUACUUUUGAAUUAAGCUGGGUGACCCUGCAGCAUGGCCAAACUGACAGAGGUAUUGACGGACAUAGCUCUUGGUGCUAUAGACAGACAUAGUGUCAUUGUCAUCAAGAACAUAAAAUCAUCUGUAAGUCCUGAUACAUUGGUGAACUGGGUUGAGGUGGUUACCGAGGAAGACGUGGAAGGUGAUGUCUGUCACUACCCAAAACCUGUAACCUCUGUGUCUCUUGCUGUCCUCAGUAGUAAUGUACAAGGUAAGACCCCUACUGUCACUACCCCCAACCUAUAACCUCUGUGUCUGGUUGUCCUCAGUAGUAGUGUACAAAGUCAGGUCCACACUGUCACUACCCCCAACCUAUAAACUCUGUGUCUGGCUGUCCUCCGUAGUAGUGUACAAGGUAAGACCCCCACAGCCACUACCCCCAACCUAUAACCUCUGUGUCUCUGGCUGUCCUCCGUAGUAGUGUACAAGGUAAGACCCCCACAGCCACUACCCCUAACCUAUAACCUCUGUGUCUCUGGCUGUCCUCAGUAGUAGUGUAUAAGGUAAGACCCCCUGGGCCACUACCCCCAACCUAUAACCUCUGUGUCUCUGGCUAUCCUCAGUAGUAGUGUACAAGGUAAGACCCCUACUGUCACUACCCCCAACCUAUAACCUCUGUGUCUGGCUGUCCUCAGUAGUAGUGUACAGGGUAAGACCCCUACUGUCACUAUCACCAACCUAAACCCUCUGUGUCUGGCUGUCCUCAGUAG